rnacentral:rRNA from 1 species
AUGGCGAUGGGACAGGAGUGGGUGAGCGUGACUGGCGAGGAGAAGCAUCGCUCUAGCUGGGUGGUGGACGUGGAGAAGAUGCUGGCAGACGACAAUGCAGGCAGCAGGAGCAUGGAGGAACAACGAUGGAAGGCGCAAUCCAUCUACCUGGUUCCGGAGUGGCUCAAGGGCACCAACAGCAAGGCGUACCAGCCGCAGCUGCUGUCUCUGGGCCCCUUCCACCAUGGCGACCCCAUCCUGCUGCCCAUGGAGGAGCACAAGCGCCGCGCAUUGGUGCACCUGGUCAAGCGGAGCGAGAGGCUGCUCCAGGAUUUCAUCUCUGCCGUCGACGAGGUGGCAGAGGAUCUCCAGGCAGCAUACGGCAAGGACCUCGAUGUCAAAUGGCGGAACGACAGGCGGAGCUUUGUCGACAUGAUGCUCACGGACGGCUGCUUCCUGCUGGAGUUUAUUUGCCAUCCUUUCUCAGAUUACGAGUGGCAUGAUCCCGUCUUCAGCAGGAACGGCAGAUUUCAAAUAGGCAAUACUAUCUGGUCGGACAUGCUACUAAUUGAGAAUCAGUUGCCUCUGCUUGUUCUCAAGAAGAUCCUGGGUCUUCUACAACCUCUCUAUCUGCAGCUGCAGAAGGAUGAAAUUGAUACAAAUAAUGCCAUCGAGGUGCUGGAAUGGGAUUCUCAGGCACAUGAGGAUCAUGACAUCGUGGAGGUUUUUGAACCGUUGCAUGAGGCCGCAAUGGAUAGAAAAAUAAACCACGUGGUGUUGCGUUUUCUAGAACGCAGGGAUGAAGGCCAUGACAAGUUGAGUCACCACCCCCUUGAACUCUAUCGUGCAAGCCUCACCUACAACGAAGAUACCAAAGAACCGAAGGACUACAAGUAUGAAGCAAUGCCCUCAGCGUUGGAAAUCCACCAGGCUGGAAUCAAAUUCAGGAAGAGUGAGAGGAACAACCUGCUGGACAUUAACUUCAAGGGCGGCGUGCUGACUUUGCCAGAGAUCGACAUGACUGACGAAACUGAGUGCGUGUGCCUCAACCUGAUGGCAUUCGAGCGGCUGCAUUUCGAUGUUACCGACCUCGUGACGCCUAUGUGUUGUUCAUGGAUGACAUGA